GGGGGUAUAUCUCAGUGGUGAGCAUUCAACUGCUGAUCGAGAGGUCCCUGGUUCAAACCUGGGUGCCCCUU